rnacentral:rRNA from 1 species
CCUACGGGAGGCAGCAGUGGGGAAUAUUGCACAAUGGGGGAAACCCUGAUGCAGCGACGCCGCGUGAGUGAAGAAGUAUUUCGGUAUGUACAGCUCUAUCAGCAGGGAAGAAAAUGACGGUAACUGAUUAAGAAGCCCCGGCUAACUACGUGACAGCAGCCGCGGGAAUACGUAGGGGGCAAGCGUUAUCCGGAUUUACUGGGUGUAAAGGGAGCGUAGACGGCAGCACAAGUCUGGAGUGAAAUGCCGGGGCUUAACCCCGGAACUGCUUUGGAAACUGUGCAGCUAGAGUGCAGGAGAGGUAAGUGGAAUUCCUAGUGUAGCGGUGAAAUGCGUAGAUAUUAGGAGGAACACCAGUGGCGAAGGCGGCUUACUGGACUGUAACUGACGUUGAGGCUCGAAAGCGUGGGGAGCAAACAGGAUUAGAUACCCUUGUAGUC